AGGAGGGUGGUGGUUUAACAGAUGUCACCAUGCCUUUCUUAAUGGUGCCUGGUUCCCAGGACGCUGGGACUGGACUUGGAAAUCUACAGUAUGGAACGGGACGUCAGUGAGGGGUACAAUGAUGAUGAUCAAACGUCACUAGAUACAGCAUUCUAAGCAAAAAUGCUUAGGAAACUAUUCCGAUGAAAGAGGGACAAUUUCCACUUGUAGUGAAAGAAACGUGUUCUCCUUUAGUCUUUUUAUGCCCCUGUAAUCGAAGAUUCGGGGGUAUAUAGUUUUCGCCCUGUACGUCUGUCCGAAAAAAGUUUAACCUGUCCCAUAACUUUUGAUUCAGAUUGGUUGGAGCUAGGACUUUCAUAUUUCACACGUGUAUUCCUUGUGACAAGACCUGACUUCUAAACAGUUGUUGCUAGGGCUUCAUAUUUCAAAUGUCUAUUCAUCGUGACAAGGCCUUUCCAUGGGUGUAAAUAUUUUUGACCUUGACUUAGAGUUUGACCCACUUUAAAAAACUUUAAUGUUGACCAUAACUUUUGAACAUUUUUGAACAUUUAGCACUAGGACUGUUAAAUUUCAUAGGUAAAUCCCUUGUGACAAGACCUUCUUUUGGAUACUAACGAUUUUGACUUUGACCUUGGAGUUUGACUUAAUUUUGAAAAACUAACUUUCUCCAUACAUGUACCUUCUGAACAGUUGGUGCUAGGGCUUUAACAUUUUCCAUGUGUAUUUCUUUUGACAAGGUCAUCAAUUUUUACCAUGACCUUGGAGUUUCCACUUUUAGAAAACAUUAACCUUGACUAAAGUUUUGAAUGUUUGGUGCUUGAGCUUUCAUAUUUACCAGAUAUAUCCAUUGACACAUGUCCUUUCUUUGGGUAACAAGAUGAUUGAUAUCUUGACCUUGGAGUUUGACAUAUAUUUGAGAAGCUUUAAUCAUAAGUUGCCGUACGGGGGCAUAAGUGUUUCACAAACACAUCUUUUUGCUUUAAAUGAUUUUUCUAUAUUGAAUGAACCAUGCAAAUGAUGCAAGAAAUGUAAAUAAAAUGGCAACUGCAAA